UCUCAGUCUCUUGAAACCAGCCAUUUUGCCUGGAUUACUCCUAGGGCAGAAUGAGGAACAAGUGGCGUAAGAAGCGAAUGAGGCGGCUGAAGAGAAAGCGCCGAAAGAUGAGGGCCAGGUCAAAGUAGACUUGCCAUACAUGCUUCCCCUUGAGGUGUUCUGGUGGCCAAUACUGCUUCCAUCCUGAGUGAAGCUGUGCUGAGCACAUAGUGAAUGGAGGUUUGACAUUUACUGGGGCUGGUUACCCACUGCAACAACAACAACAAAAUGGAAUUCAUUAUCAACUGUGAUUCAAGGAUUUAAUAGUAGAGACUUGGAGAGACAAGACCAUUAGUAGGGUAGAAUGUUGCUCAACAGGGUGUGUGUAGUGCGUUGGGGCUGAAAUAGUGGGACA